UGAAACGUUGCCAUGGUGACGCUGUGACAUCAGAGGAGCCCAGGAGAAGUGAGAGAGAGGUGGUGCUGGCAGGCAAGGCCGGCAUUUCCAGGAUGCACAGGGCACUCUGAAGGGAGCCUUCAGGCAGCAGGUGAGCAAGCUAUGGUGAGUGAGCGGUAAGAAAAGGAACCUAAAAAUAAGCCCUUUUCCAAGCAAGGAUCCAGAGGCAGCGCUGAGGUCUGUCAUCACAGCGCAAACACCACCCUAAGUUCACGGCGGAGGGCAUUACAAGCUGCUCACCCCGCUGAACCAGUUGCCCAGCAGAGAUGAGAGGAACCACAGCCAUCACUGGCGUGCGCUGACAGAGCGCCAGGCGCCACACAUCUAAUAUCACAAUCACCAAGGGACCCCGAGGGACAAGCACCUGUUAUCUGCAACGUGGUGGCAGAGCCUGUCAAGCCUGUCCAGAGACCUGACCGCGGCCACCGAACGGGCCAGCCACCCAGCUCCCGGACUCCACCUCCCAGCUGCUGCAGCCAGCUCCCAGACCACCAUUCAGCUGUGGGCUGAAACGUGCCCCCGCAGAUUCACACGUUGAAGGCCUAACGCCGAGACCCCAGAUAGUAGCUUUACGGAGGUGGGGCCUUCAAAGACAUGAUCAAGGAGGAAGAUCUUUUCACCCAGCAGUUUAGAUAACCCCCGGGUCGGAAGUGCUCCCAGCCCCCCUUCCUCCACAUAAAGCGGCGAUAACGCGGCAGCCUUUGGAGUCCAGCGCACACCCUGGAGUGUGCUGAGGAAAAACGCAAGCCCCGGACGCACAGGAAAGGAUUCCCAGAAAGGCCUGUGGGCCUGAGAUAAGUCCUCGGAGUGGGCCCAGCUGGGCUCUGAGUCCCCAGGACAGGCUCCUGAGGACGGGAGGAUCAUACCUGCCCCCCAGAGAAAUUUAAGAAUAACUGGUGCAAACGCUAUAGACAGUGCCCGUCACAAGCCAGAGGCUGUUCCAGGCACGUGUGUGGAUCGGACCUGCCUUCCUCCAGGGUACCCGGUGAGCUCCCGAUUCUACAGCCAGAGACUGAGUCUUGGUGAGCACAGGCCCCAGGUCACACGGCCACCCGGAAGCCUGGCUCCUGAGCCUGUGCUCUGGCCCACUGUUCGCAUCUGCAGAAGCAGGCCCAUUCCCAUUCUCAAAAGGGGGCACACACUAGUUUUUCUUGUGCUUUAAGAUAAUAAAAAACACUCAGUGUGGAAAUGCUGCUAAUUACAGAAAAUUCUAAGCAAUGUUUAAAUCCUCCAUAAUCAGAGUGGACACGGACUUGGGCAAGCUCCAAGAGAUAGUGAGGACAGGGAGGCUGGGCAUGCUGCAGUCCAUGGGGUC